rnacentral:SRP_RNA from 2 species
GCUGGGGGUGGUGGCUCACACCUGUAAUCCCAGCACUUUCGGAGGCUGAGGUGGGAGGAUCACUUGAGCCCAGGAGUUCAACACCAGCCUGGGCAAUACAGUGAGACCUCAUCUCUA